UACGUAGGGGGGCAAGCGUUGUCCGGAUUUAUUGGGCGUAAAGAGCGUGUAGGCGGCCACACAGGUCAGCUGUGAAAACUCGAGGCUCAACCUCGAGACGUCGGUUGAAACCGUAUGGCUAGAGUCCGGAAGAGGAGAGUGGAAUUCCCGGUGUAGCGGUGAAAUGCGCAGAUAUCGGGAAGAACACCUAUGGCGAAGGCAGCUCUCUGGGACGGUACUGACGCUGAGACGCGAAAGCGUGGGGAGCAAACAGG
rnacentral:rRNA from 1 species